GUCUAAGCCACCGACUCCACCGGGGCCGGAACGAGAGUCACCGCAUCGCUGGCAAGAAUCACGGCGCUGGAAGUUGAGGUGGCUGCAUGACCUACAGUUCCAAUCUCCGGGUCUGCUCAUUCUUCAAAUCUUGUUUGCGUGCGAGUUUAUAUUAUUUUUCUGUAACAUGCAUAUUAAUUUGAAUAUUUCUAUUAGUUACUUAUUUGAUGUAACCAAAAAAAAAAUGUUAGAUAAUUAUUCAGUUUAAUUAACCUCAUAAACUACUAUAAAAACAAAAUAUUGCUGAGUAACCAUAGCUACUAAGGAAAAUGAAUUUCUUAUGCACUUGCUUUCGUUUAAAGUUAGGACAAAAGAAUUGUACUUAUUUAUGCAUAAGCUAAUCAUAAUAGUGGGUAUAUGCAUGUAUAUUCAUAAGCUUAUUCUAUUUAUGAUAGAUCAAUCAACUUCUUAUAUUCAUCACGUAUAACGAAUUACUUGCCAAUAUCUUGUGGCUACAUAUAUUCGAAAAUCAAUAUCCAAAAUAUUCAAAUACUAUGAAUUGAUAUAAAAUUUAAAAGACUGACCUCGAAGAACUUGGAAGCUAGAGAUGUGAUGAUGAGUCUAGUGAAAGAAAAAUAAGGCACGAGGCUUUGAAAGAGUGAUGUGAAGAGGAAGGGCUUAAAUAGAACACAGAAGAACACAAGCUGGUGGCUCGUUCACCAAAAAUUAAAAUAAAAUAAAAUAAUUUACUUUUUCGUUUUCUUCACCUCAAUUGUAAACUUUCGCAAAAGAAGAGCAACAAAAAACCUCAUAAUAUUUAAAAAUAAAUUAAGUGAAAAUUUCGGCUGAGAAACCCAAGCCUAGAAAUUCUUUAAUAUAUGUGUAAUUACUUUGGCCAUAUAUAACUUAUAGAGUGUUUCUUGUACUAUGAUACUUGUUUAACUAUAUUAUGGUAAUUACUUUGGCCGUAGCUUUGUUGUAUU
rnacentral:lncRNA from 1 species